rnacentral:rRNA from 1 species
UACGUAGGUGGCUAGCGUUGCUCGGAAUCACUGGGCGUAAAGGGUGCGUAGGCGGGUCUUUUAAGUCAGGGGUGAAAUCCUGGAGCUCAACUCCAGAACUGCCUUUGAUACUGAAGAUCUUGAGUUCGGGAGAGGUGAGUGGAACUGCGAGUGUAGAGGUGAAAUUCGUAGAUAUUCGCAAGAACACCAGUGGCGAAGGCGGCUCACUGGCCCGAUACUGACGCUGAGGCACGAAAGCGUGGGGAGCAACAGGG